CCCAGCGACCUUUAUCACAGAUGAUGCGCUGUGUGUCCCUGGGGGCCAGGAUGAGGCCAGAGGCUUUUCCUGCCCCCUUUCCUGCUGCUGCUGCCCUUCCAGCAGGGCCCGGGGAGGUCCUUUGGGACAAGGGAUUGGGCCCAAGGCAGAGGGAGGCCUGUCCUUCCAUUCUCUUGCACGCAUUCAGGGUGGAUUUCAUAGUAUCAUCUGACCCAGAUUUUUCUUUGCAGAUGACAGUAAUUCGGCCAGACCUGGCCUGCUUCUGGAGGAGACUGAAAGAAGAUGACAUCAUCAUCGAAGACAUGUAUUCAGUGCAGACCUCGGGCUCCGCUGGACACCAGAGAGAGGCCACUGGCUCCUGGAACUCAAAGUGGAAAUCUAGAGGAAUGAGAACCGACUGGUGAAAAGAGGGAAAAGAACUGGAAUAGAAAGAGGAUGGAGAGCAGCCGUCUGACUGAUGAAACUCCCUUGUUAGAAGGAGAAGGCAUUUCUAAAGAGGAAGUGUAGAGAUGCAAAGAUCCACAGGAUGGUCCUGAGAAGAUUCCCUUGUUGGAAGGAGAAGAAAUCUCUCAGACUAAAGGAGGGCUGUACAAAUAUAAAGAACAACGAGGAGAGCAGAAAUGCAAGGAGACCCUCGAUGGCACUGAGAAGACAGCCCUGCGACUGUUGGGAGAAUAUGAAAUGGGGGAAGAAUGGCAAAAUCCCAGAAGACAGCAGUUCAGCCGGAGCUGGCCUGCUUCUGGCCAAGUCCAAAAGGUGGUGAGCCCCACACCUUGGGGACAGCGAAGUCCCUUCUCCCUUGUUUGCUUGAAGGUCUGUACCCAAGACUCACCUCUCAGGUCUUCUUGCUGGGAGUCCUGCAGGACCUGCUCCCUGCCUGGCAGGCCCUUCCCACCUGGUGUUCCUGAAGAGGAUCAGCACAGAGAGGUCUGUCCUUUGUCUGGACUUGUCUUUGCAAGGCUCUUGCAGAAUUCCAGUCAGGACUCUACCUCUCUUCUCUCUUCUUUUUCCACGGGAACUGAAGGGGCACUUCCAGCGCCUGCUGGGGGGUCUCCACUUUGGACAUGGGCAGCGCAAUCGUCCACACAACUUUCCAGGCCAUCCUAGAAGAAAAGAAUAAGGAGGACAGGGAGGACCUCCGUGAUGAUUUUAACAAGUGCCCCCUAGUCCUUGACUUGGCCCUGGAGGCCCUUUUCCAGUGGAGACCUGCUGCCUUGAACAUGGGCAUCUGCCACAGGAAUUGAAGCAGCACUUCCACCAUCUGCUCUGACAGAGACCCCCAACGCUUUGCACCUCCUCCUGCUUAAUGACCUCCAAUGUUACACCCUAGAGGAAAGUGGGGAGCCAAAAAACCUGGCAUCCAGCAGCAUCUCUUCGCUGCUGGCCUUUGCCCAAAGGUUCCCCCAUCUCAGAGCAAGUAGCUCUCCUUCAUGGAUUCAGUCCUUUGAACACUUCCAUCUCCCCAAGAGGCUCCCAAGGCUACUCAUCCUCUGCAGCUGAUAACGGACCUAACUAAAAAAAAACAGCUUACUCUUCUGAUGACAUCAGAGAAUUCUAGACCAUUGGAAUGUUCAGGGUGGCAGGAGAGGAUAUAUUGCUUAUUAGUAUCCUUCCUAACUUGCGCUAGCAAGUUCCUUCACUUGGCAGAGUGCAUUCUCCUUUUGCUGUUGUUUAGUCGUUUAGUCGUGUCCAACUCUUCGUGACCCCCUGGACCAGAGCAGUU